rnacentral:rRNA from 1 species
CACGUAGGGUGCGAGCGUUGUCCGGAAUUAUUGGGCGUAAAGGGUGCGUAGGCGGUUCGGUAAGUUUCGUGUGAAAUCUUCGGGCUCAACUCGAAGUCUGCACGAAAUACUGCCGGGCUCGAGUGUGGGAGAGGUGAGUGGAAUUUCCGGUGUAGCGGUGAAAUGCGUAGAUAUCGGAAGGAACACCUGUGGCGAAAGCGGCUCACUGGACCACAACUGACGCUGAGGCACGAAAGCUAGGGGAGCAAACAGG